UCAGGCCUAACACAUGCAAGUCGAACGGUAACAGGUCUUCGGAUGCUGACGAGUGGCGAACGGGUGAGUAAUACAUCGGAACGUGCCCAGUAAUGGGGGAUAGCCCGGCGAAAGCCGGAUUAAUACCGCAUACGCCCUGAGGGGGAAAGUGGGGGACCGCAAGGCCUCACGUUAUUGGAGCGGCCGAUGGCUGAUUAGCUAGUUGGUAGGGUAAAGGCCUACCAAGGCGACGAUCAGUAGCUGGUCUGAGAGGACGAUCAGCCACACUGGGACUGAGACACGGCCCAGACUCCUACGGGAGGCAGCAGUGGGGAAUUUUGGACAAUGGGGGAAACCCUGAUCCAGCAAUGCCGCGUGUGCGAAGAAGGCCUUCGGGUUGUAAAGCACUUUUGUCAGGGAAGAAAUCCUUGGGCUAAUACCCUAGG
rnacentral:rRNA from 1 species